rnacentral:tRNA from 1 species
CGAUCAAUGGCGUAAUGGUAGCGCGUCUGAUUCUAGAUUAAAAGGUUGCAUGUUCGAUUCACGUUGAGUUUA